rnacentral:rRNA from 1 species
GGUGGGGAUGACGUCAAGUCCUCAUGGCCCUUAUGCCUAGGGCUACACACGUGCUACAAUGGUGGUCACAAACUGAAGCGAAGCCGCAAGGUGGAGCAAAUCGGAGAAAAGCCAUCUAAGUUCAGAUUGAUCUCUGCAACUCGAGAUCAUGAAGUUGGAAUCGCUAGUAAUCGCGGAUCAGAAUGCCGCGGUGAAUACGUUCCCGGGCCUUGUACACACCGCCCGUCACACCAUGAAAGUCGGCUGUACCAGAAGUCGCUGCGCUAACCGCAAGGAGGCAGGCGCCCAAGGUAUGGUCGAUGAUU